rnacentral:rRNA from 1 species
CAGUCGAGCGGUAAGGCCCUUCGGGGUACACGAGCGGCGAACGGGUGAGUAACACGUGAGCAAUCUGCCCUUCACUUUGGGAUAACCUCCGGAAACGGUGGCUAAUACCGAAUGCGACCAUUCCCGGCAUCGGGGGUGGUGGAAAGUUCUGGCGGUGGAGGAUGAGCUCGCGGCCUAUCAGCUUGUUGGUGAGGUAAUGGCUCACCAAGGCUUCGACGGGUAGCCGGCCUGAGAGGGUGACCGGCCACACUGGGACUGAGACACGGCCCAGACUCCUACGGGAGGCAGCAGUGGGGAAUAUUGGACAAUGGGCGAAAGCCUGAUCCAGCAACGCCGCGUGAGGGAUGACUGCCUUCGGGUUGUAAACCUCUUUCAGCGGGGACGAAGCGCAAGUGACGGUACCCGCAGAAGAAGCACCGGCCAACUACGUGCCAGCAGCCGCGGUAAUACGUAGGGUGCGAGCGUUGUCCGGAAUUAUUGGGCGUAAAGGGCUCGUAGGCGGUUUGUCGCGUCGGGAGUGAAAACCAGGUGCUUAACACCUGGCCUGCUUCCGAUACGGGCAGACUAGAGGUAUGCAGGGGAGAACGGAAUUCCUGGUGUAGCGGUGAAAUGCGCAGAUAUCAGGAGGAACACCGGUGGCGAAGGCGGUUCUCUGGGCAUUACCUGACGCUGAGGAGCGAAAGUGUGGGGAGCGAACAGGAUUAGAUACCCUGGUAGAAUCACUAGUGAAUUC